GCACAAGCGGUGGAGCAUGUGGUUAAUCGAUGCAACGCGAAGAACUUACCUGGGCUUGACAUCCCGGGAAUCCCUUGGAAACAAGGGAGUGCCCUUCGGGGAACCUGGAGACAGGUGCUGCAUGGCUGUCGUCAGCUCGUGUCGUGAGAUGUAGGGUUAAGUCCCGCAACGAGCGCAACCCCUACUGCCAGUUACUAACAGGUAAUGCUGAGGACUCUGGCGGAACUGCCGGUGACAAACCGGAGGAAGGUGGGAUGACGUCAAGUCCUCAUGGCCCUUAUGUCCAGGGCUACACACGUGCUACAAUGGCCGGUACAGAGUGACGCGAAGCCGCGAGGUGGAGCCAAUCUCAGAAAGCCGGUCUCAGUUCGGAUUAGAGUCUGCAACUCGACUCUAUGAAGUUGGAAUCGCUAGUAAUCGCGGAUCAGCACGCCGCGGUGAGUACGUUCCCGGGCCUU
rnacentral:rRNA from 1 species